AUGAAGAACAGCUUGAGGAACCAGCUGCAAGGAGGUGUCCUUCUGUGCUUCCUCUUGAUCUCUGCCACUUCCACAGGGAUGUGGUUGCCCAGGGAAAGCCACAUUCCAUGGCAACAAUGCAGGGAUGCCUCACAAGAGGUCCUCAAGCAGUUGUGGAAGCUGAACAUCAAGAAGCCGGAGGUACCACACACAACUAUUUCCUUUCCCCAGCGAAUUGAAUGCAAGGACAGAUGUGACCCAGAUUCCCUGGGCAAAGUUCCUGACUCUCUGCAGUGCCUCACAAAAAUAAGAGAGGGACUUCACCAUUAUCAUAAGCUUCUGACCCGGUUUUCUAACUCAGGGUUAACUGCAGAGCUCCAAGAUGCCCUGAAUUCAUUGCUGCAGUUGCUCCUUAUAGAGGAUGGAGGCAGCCAGAAGGAAACAAACAGCCCAGCCAUUCUGGAUAAUGUGCAAGAGUGGGAGAAGACACCGCUGCAGAAUUUCACCCUGUGGCGUCUGCAGUCCUUUGCUGUUGUGGUGGCCAGAGUCCUUUCCCACUGCGCCUCUUUAUCCGAGGCCAGCAUGAUCUAAGGGAAGAAGCCAAUGUACGAUGUAUUUCCACUAUGUGCUUCUAUUUAUUUAUUUAAUCUUUUGUUUGUAUUGUGUUUGUUUAUGAUCUAUGCUUCUAUUUAAGCCAUUUAAUCUAUUUAUUUGUUUGUUCGUUUGGCCUGACUCCUGCUGGACACAUCUUAAAAUAUUAAGACCUUCUGUCCCAGCUUUAAAUAUCAAGGAGGAGCAAGUUUGUUAUAGAACUUCAUUUCCAGACGAGGCACCCGCACUUCUGUACUAUGUGCCCAUCCUCUUUUGUGGGAUGACUUGUGGGUUGUAACUAUUACUCUUUCCAAAGAAAGAAGUCAACAAGGGAAGUAUUUUCAUUAUGUAAUUCUACUUAUUUAAUGUGUUUAUUUAAUCUUUUUAUGUGUGUAUUUAUAAUCCAUGUAUUUAUUUAUUUAUUUACUUGCCUACUUAUUUUAUUCAUUUGGUUGGAUCCCUGCUGGAUACUGCUAUGCCACUUGAUCCAGAAUGUGUAAGGGAAGCCAUGUGCCAAUUUUAGAUUCUAAGAAGGAGCAGGUUCAUUAUAGAACUUCACUUCUUCAUUACCGGACGAUGUAUUCAUUCUCUUUUGUGGGAUGAGAUUUGCAAGUUAUACCUGUGCACAUACUUUGCAUGGAUUUACUCUAAUAAAGCUUUUGUUAUUCUAUGUGGAAAUGCA
ensembl:lncRNA